GAUGAACGCUAGCGGCAGGCUUAAUACAUGCAAGUCGAGGGGCAGCAUGGGUGUAGCAAUACAUCUGAUGGCGACCGGCAAACGGGUGCGGAACACGUACAGAACCUUCCUUCGAGCGGGGAAUAGCCCAGAGAAAUUUGGAUUAAUACCCCAUAGUAUAUUGAAGAGGCAUCUCUUUAAUAUUAAAGAUUUAUCACUUGAAGAUGGCUGUGCGGCUGAUUAGAUAGUUGGCGGGGGUAACGGCCCACCAAGUCUACGAUCAGUAACUGGUGUGAGAGCACGACCAGUCACACGGGCACUGAGACACGGGCCCGACUCCUACGGGAGGCAGCAGUAAGGAAUAUUGGGCAAUGGAGGCAACUCUGACCCAGCCAUGCCGCGUGGGAGGAUGAAGGCCCUCUGGGUUGUAAACUUCUUUUA
rnacentral:rRNA from 1 species